GACGAACGCUGGCGGCGUGCCUAAUACAUGCAAGUCGAACGCAGUGGGGACGGGUGAGUAACACGUGGGUAACCUCCCAUCAGAGGGGAUAACACUUGGAAACAGGUGCUAAACCGAUACUGAUGGAUGGACCCGCGGUGCAUUAGCUAGUUGGUGAGGUAACGGCUCACCAAGGCCACGAUGCAUAGCCGACCUGAGAGGGUGAUCGGCCACACUGGGACUGAGACACGGCCCAGACUCCUACGGGAGGCAGCAGUAGGGAAUCUUCGGCAAUGGACGAAAGUCUGACCGAGCAACGCCGCGUGAGUGAAGAAGGCCUUCGGGUUGUAAAGUACUUUUGUUAGGGAAGCGGUACCUAAAGAAUAAGCACCGGCUAACUACGUGCCAGCAGCCGCGGUAAUAC
rnacentral:rRNA from 1 species